rnacentral:rRNA from 1 species
GUGGGGAAUAUUGGGCAAUGGGGGAAACCCUGACCCAGCGACGCCGCGUGAGGGAAGAAGGCCUUAGGGUCGUAAACCUUUGUUGUGUGGGAAGAAGAGCGUGACGGUACCACACGAGGAAGUCCCGGCUAACUACGUGCCAGCAGCCGCGGUAAUACGUAGGGGACGAGCGUUGUCCGGAUUUACUGGGCGUAAAGGGCGCGUAGGCGGUCAUUUAAGUCAGCUGUGAAAUGGUUUGGCUUAACCGGAUCAUGCGGUUGAAACUGGAUGACUGGAGUGCUGGAGAGGCAAGUGGAAUUCCCAGUGUAGCGGUGAAAUGCGUAGAUAUUGGGAAGAACACCGGUGGCGAAGGCGACUUGCUGGCCAGCAACUGACGCUGAGGCGCGAAAGCCAGGGGAGCAAACGGGAUUAGAAACCCUUGUAGUCC